rnacentral:rRNA from 1 species
UACGUAGGGGGCAAGCGUUGUCCGGAUUUACUGGGCGUAAAGAGCGCGCAGGCGGUCGGAUUAGUCGCGUGUGAAAGCCCCCGGCUCAACUGGGGAGGGUCACGCGAUACUGUUCGACUCGAAGGCAGGAGAGGGAAGUGGAAUUCCCGGUGUAGUGGUGAAAUGCGUAGAUAUCGGGAGGAACACCAGUGGCGAAGGCGACUUCCUGGCCUGUUCUUGACGCUGAGGCGCGAAAGCUAGGGUAGCAAACGGG